UGUAGAUUCAUUUUUGGCAGCACAAUUAUUAGAACCGACAAAAAAAAAGGAGAGGAAGAAAACGACAUAUCCUUAUCCCGCAUCCCAUAAAAAUGAAGAAAAAGGUGAAAAAACAGACAAAAAAGCAGACGAAAAAACAGACGAAACAGCAGACGAAACAGCAGACGAAACAGGUGGUGAAAACGAGCACGAAAAA